rnacentral:rRNA from 1 species
GACGAACGCUGGCGGCGUGCUUAACACAUGCAAGUCGAACGGUGAAGGGGCCUGCUUUUGUGGGCCCUGGAUGAGUGGCGAACGGGUGAGUCACACGUGAGUAACCUGCCCCCUUCUUCUGGAUAUCCGCAUGAAAGUGUGGCUAAUACGGGAUAUUCUGGGUCUGUCGCAUGAUGGGUCUGGGAAAGAUUGCGCCUUUGGGUGUUUUUGGUGGUGGAUGGGCUCGCGGCCUAUGAGCUUGUUGGUGGGGUGAUGGCCUACCAAGGCGGGGACGGGUAGGCGGUCUGAGAGGGUGGAAGGUCAGAGUGGGACUGGGACACGGCCGAGAGUGCUACGGGAGGGAGCAGUGGGGAAUAUUGCAGAAGGGACGAAAGCCUGAUGGAGCGACGCCGCGUGAGGGAAGGAGGCGUUCGGGUUGUAAGCCUCUUUCGCCAGUGAAGCAGGCCUGCUCGUUGUGGGUGGGUUGACGGUAGCUGGAGAAGAAGCGCCGGCUAACUACGUG